CAUAUAUAAACAUAAUGAGUAUAAUGUACAGCGUGAUUAAAUUAUAGCUUGAUUAUUGAUUCAUCAUACAUUUGUAACAGGAAGAAAAGGAUAUUUUCAACGAUUUCAUCUUGACAUCUUCCGGAGUUUUAAAAUAACCACAUCCGAUGGGUUUUUGUAUUGUACCAUUGAUAUAACAACAUUAAAUAAAUUUGAGGCGCAAACUGUAUACAAUUGGAGUAUAUAUGUAUAUAGGACUCUAGAGUGCGAUGGGGACGUUAACGUACGUUGGUCACGCUAAAGUACGAUGGUCUGCGCUAAAGUGUGAUGCCUUCAUACGCUAAAGUGCGAUGGUCCGCGAAAGUAUAGAGUACGACACGUAGUUGAACUAUGACGUUAACAGUCGUUUAUACAAACCAUAAAUGUACAUGCCGGG
rnacentral:lncRNA from 1 species